rnacentral:rRNA from 1 species
CCUACGGGGGGCAGCAGUAGGGAAUAUUGCUCAAUGGGGGAAACCCUGAAGCAGCAACGCCGCGUGGAGGAUGAAGGUUUUCGGAUUGUAAACUCCUUUUGUUAGAGAAGAGAAUGACGGUAUAUAACGAAUAAGCACCGGCUAACUCCGUGCCAGCAGCCGCGGUAAUACGGAGGGUGCAAGCGUUACUCGGAAUCACUGGGCGUAAAGAGCGCGUAGGCGGGAUAGCAAGUCAGAUGUGAAAUCCUAGGGCUUAACCAUAGAACUGCAUUUGAAACUGUUAUUCUAGAGUAUGGGAGCGUUCGGUGGAAUUCUUGGUGUAGUGGUCACAUCCGUAGAGAUCCAGAGGAAUACUCAUUGCGCCGGCGACCUGCUAGACCAUAACUGACGCUGCUGCGCGAACGCGUGGGGAGCAAACAGGAUUAGAUACCCUUGUAGUC